rnacentral:rRNA from 1 species
CCUACGGGUGGCUGCAGUGAGGAAUAUUGGUCAAUGGACGAGAGUCUGAACCAGCCAAGUAGCGUGAAGGAUGACUGCCCUAUGGGUUGUAAACUUCUUUUAUAUGGGAAUAAAAUGUUCCACGUGUGGGAUUUUGUAUGUACCAUAUGAAUAAGGAUCGGCUAACUCCGUGCCAGCAGCCGCGGUAAUACGGAGGAUGCGAGCGUUAUCCGGAUUUGUUGGGUUUAAAGGGAGCGUAGGUGGAUUGUUAAGUCAGUUGUGAAAGUUUGCGGCUCAACCGUAAAAUUGCAGUUGAAACUGGCAGUCUUGAGUCCAGUAGAGGUGGGUGGAAUUCGUGGUGUAGCGGUGAAAUGCUUAGAUAUGACGAAGAAUUCCGAUUGCGAAGGCAGCCCCCUGGACUGAAACUGACACUGAGGCUCGAAAGUGUGGGGAUCAAACAGGAUUAGAUACCCGUGUAGUC